UACGAAGGGGGCUAGCGUUGCUCGGAAUCACUGGGCGUAAAAGCGCACGUAGGCGGAUUGUUUAAGUCAGGGGUGAAAUCCUGGAGCUCAACUCCAGAACUGUCCUUGAUACUGACGUCUCGAGUCCGGGAGAGGUGAGUGGAACUGCGAGUGUAGAGGUGAAAUGCGUAGAUAUCUGCAGGAACACCCGUGGCGAAAGCGGCGC
rnacentral:rRNA from 1 species